rnacentral:rRNA from 1 species
UGGGGAAUAUUGGACAAUGGGCGAAAGCCUGAUCCAGCCAUGCCGCGUGAGUGAAGAAGGCCUUCGGGUUGUAAAGCUCUUUCAGAUGUGAAGAUGAUGACGGUAGCAUCAGAAGAAGCCCCGGCUAACUUCGUGCCAGCAGCCGCGGUAAUACGAAGGGGGCUAGCGUUGUUCGGAAUUACUGGGCGUAAAGCGCGCGUAGGCGGCGCUGUCAGUCAGAGGUGAAAUCCCGGGGCUCAACCUCGGAAUUGCCUUUGAUACUGCAGUGCUUGAGUUCGAGAGAGGGUAGUGGAAUUCCCAGUGUAGAGGUGAAAUUCGUAGAUAUUGGGAAGAACACCAGUGGCGAAGGCGGCUGCCUGGCUCGAUACUGACGCUGAGGUGCGAAAGCGUGGGGAGCAAA